UACGGAGGGUGCAAGCGUUAUCCGGAUUUACUGGGUUUAAAGGGUGCGUAGGUGGAUAGAUAAGUCAGCGGUGAAAUCUCCGGGCUUAACUCGGAAACUGCCAUUGAUACUAUCUGUCUUGAAUAUCCUGGAGGUGAGCGGAAUAUGUCAUGUAGCGGUGAAAUGCUUAGAUAUGACAUAGAACACCUAUUGCGAAGGCAGCUCACUACGGGAUUAUUGACACUGAGGCACGAAAGCGUGGGGAGCGAACAGG
rnacentral:rRNA from 1 species